GUUUCCGUAGCUCAGUAGAGAGAGUGCCGCUUUGCGAAGGCGGAGGGCGCAGGUGCGACUCCUGCCGGAAACACCA
rnacentral:tRNA from 1 species